GACGAGGUGGCCGAGUGGUUAAGGCGAUGGACUGCUAAUCCAUUAAUAUGCUCUGCACGCGUGGGUUCGAAUCCCAUCCUCGUCG